GAUGAAGAACGCAGCGAAAUGCGAUAAGUAAUGUGAAUUGCAGAAUUCAGUGAAUCAUCGAAUCUUUGAACGCACAUUGCGCCCCUUGGUAUUCCAUGGGGCAUGCCUGUUCGAGCGUCAUUUGUACCUUCAAGCUCUGCUUGGUGUUGGGUGUUUGUCCUUGCUCUAGUGGCGGGACUCGCCUUAAAGUAAUUGGCAGCCAGUGUUUUGGUUUUGAAGCGCAGCACAAGUCGCGAUUCAAGUCUAUACGCUAGUUUCCACAAGUCUUUUAUCACUUUUGACCUCGGAUCAGGUAGGGAUACCCGCUGAACUUAAGCAUAUCAAUAAGCGGAGGA
rnacentral:misc_RNA from 1 species